UUUGGACAUCCAAGUUUCAAGUUUCACCCCGGCAACUUGUUUUUCUAAUGACCUUGUAAGCCAAUUUUCAACACGAAGUUUGCAAAUUUGACGUUUUAGCCAUUUUAGCCUGUAUUUUAUACUGCAAUGUUAAAAGCCUCUCGCUUCGAUUUUCAAAAUAGCUCAGGAACCUUGAUUUUUGCAACGACAGUCAUUAUGUUUCGUUUAAAUGGUGUAUAUUGUUGUGUAUAUUUAUUUUCUGCCCCGGCAACCUGUCUAUCACUUAAAUUAAAGUUAAAAUAGACAUUUUUUCAAAAAUCUCUAUCAUUUCAAUAUAAUUUCCGUGACCCGUAUCCGUUUUUAUUAGUAUAAUAUUCAAAUGAGCAAAGUGGCGUUGAUUUCUGGAUAUG
rnacentral:lncRNA from 1 species